rfam:TPA: Bos taurus chromosome 21, whole genome shotgun sequence.
UCCCUGAUAGCUGAGUUGGUAAAGAAUCCGCCUGCAAUGCAGAAGACCCCAGAUUGAUUCCUGGGCGGGGAA